AGGAUUAUAGUUUAAAAAAACAUUUGAUUUGCAUUCAAAAAAUAUUGUUUUUACAAUUUAUCUU
rnacentral:tRNA from 1 species